UCCUCUCUGGUUCUUCUUUAGUUCUUCUUCUUUGAUGAAAGUUUCAUUCCUUUAUUAAAUUUUAAUAUAUUUUAUCAUGGUAUCAAAGCUUCUCAAUGGUGUUAAGGGAUUGUAAAAUGCUUUAGUCAAAAUUAUCCCAUUUGGGUGAUCAAGAUGCUAGCUUAUCUGAGAGCUUGACUUAUAGGAGAUCAUCAAUCUGGUGGAGAUCCCCCUGUGUUAAGGGUAACUAAUCCAACCAUCACUCAGCUCAAGCAAUAUAAUGAGGAGGUUGCUAAAAGUUGAGAGUUGAGAGAGCAAUUUGAUGGUCAAAGGAAGCUUUAAAGAUGGGGCCCAACCAGCAUGGGAAAUUGAAAGCUACUGGUUCAAGUGGCGGGCCGAAUGUCUCCUCUUUGGUGCUCAUGACGAGACUCUUGGUAGCUCCCACCAGCCACCCUUCGGUUGUGGCUGAUCAUCAUCGUCAUCAACAAAUCAAAAUUAAAUACAAAUAAUAAGCAUCU